rnacentral:rRNA from 1 species
AGUCGAGCGGACAGAAGGGAGCUUGCUCCCGGAUGUUAGCGGCGGACGGGUGAGUAACACGUGGGUAACCUGCCUGUAAGACUGGGAUAACUCCGGGAAACCGGAGCUAAUACCGGAUAGUUCCUUGAACCGCAUGGUUCAAGGAUGAAAGACGGUUUCGGCUGUCACUUACAGAUGGACCCGCGGCGCAUUAGCUAGUUGGUGGGGUAAUGGCUCACCAAGGCGACGAUGCGUAGCCGACCUGAGAGGGUGAUCGGCCACACUGGGACUGAGACACGGCCCAGACUCCUACGGGAGGCAGCAGUAGGGAAUCUUCCGCAAUGGACGAAAGUCUGACGGAGCAACGCCGCGUGAGUGAUGAAGGUUUUCGGAUCGUAAAGCUCUGUUGUUAGGGAAGAACAAGUGCGAGAGUAACUGCUCGCACCUUGACGGUACCUAACCAGAAAGCCACGGCUAACUACGUGCCAGCAGCCGCGGUAAUACGUAGGUGGCAAGCGUUGUCCGGAAUUAUUGGGCGUAAAGGGCUCGCAGGCGGUUUCUUAAGUCUGAUGUGAAAGCCCCCGGCUCAACCGGGGAGGGUCAUUGGAAACUGGGAAACUUGAGUGCAGAAGAGGAGAGUG